GGAAAAUGGCCCGCCAGCCGAUGUUUUCAACUAGACGAGUAUGAAAGGGAAUACAGUGUUAGAUAUCAUCGAGGAUAUGUGACCAAAGGGUUUCAGAAGUCUUGAGAGAUGUAUGCAGAUCAAACCCAUCAAGUACGCCAACACCAUGUCUACAAGGUCAUACCUCUAGAACCUCUGACACCUCUACAGCUGAGGACAAAUCUAAAAGUGGACAGAGGGAUAGUAUGAAUGCUUCAGUGAAAUUAAGGAGCUCAGGUUCUAACAAGCUUAGUAGUGCAGUGCAACACAGAGGUACUCCGAUGUGCAAUUUUACAAGUUUUUCCAGACAGUGAUAACAGCGAGGCUUGAAGACUACUGUACACAAUUUCUUAACAAAUCCAAAAACAAAGCCGCGUAACACUCAACUUAGUGAUUCAAAGAAAACCAGACUACAAACAAGAAAGGGUCGAUUGAAUGGAGUGACAUUUUUUCCCUGAAGCGUCCUAUCAAGAUAUAGAGAAUCUAGUCGUUUGUGCCACGGCACAAAAAUUAUCAGACACAUAAGUAACAUUCAAGUAGUAGUAUGCAUUUACAUGGAGGAUAUGACAUAAUUGUAUUUUCAUAUUGAAUUUAUCAUAUAAGUUGAAUAAAGAAAAUAAAAUGUGAGGCUCUGUCGAGCAUUUUAAAAGUUUUAAUUAAUGCAAUUUGGAAAGUCACAAAUGUAAUAUUCUUUUAUCACAUGUUAGAUUUUCCUGUCAAAAAAUUGAAAAUUAUUCUUUCUUUUACUAUUUUAACAAGCCAACUUAAUCAACACUUCCAAUACUUUAAAAGACAUUGACGUCUAAUCUUUAUUACACUAGUGUAUAAUAAUUUUUAUGCCCCCGCCAUGUAAUGGCCGGGGCAUAUAGUGUUACCCUGUUCCGUCCUUCCGUCCUUCCGUCAUUCCGUCCUUCCGUCAUUCCGUCCUUCCGUCAUUCCGUCAUUCUGUCAUUCCGUCAUCAUCAGUUUCCGUUCAUUAUCUCCCCAACGGUACAACACAUUCAACUUAAAUUUGACAUAUGGAUAUGUCAUGAGAAAAUACAGGUCAAGUUCGAAUUUGGUCAUGGUUCGAUGCUUUUUGGCAGAGUUAUGCCCCUUUUACUUUGAAAAUAAUAUGAAAUUUUCAGUUUCCGUUCAUUAUCUCCCAAACGGUACAACACAUUCAACUCAAAUUUGACAUAUGCAUAUAUCAUGAGAAAAUACAGGUCAAGUUCGAAUUUGGUCAUGGUUCGAUGAUUUUUGGCAGAGUUAUGCCCCUUUUACUUUGAAAAUAAUAUGAAAUUUUCAGUUUCCGUUCAUUAUCUCCCCAACGGUACAACACAUUCAACUCAAAUUUGACAUAUGGAUAUGUCAUGAGAAAAUACAGGUCAAGUUCGAAUUUGGUCAUGGUUCGAUGAUUUUUGGCAGAGUUAUGCCCCUUUUACUUUGAAAAUAAUAUGAAAUUUUCAGUUUCUGUCAUUAUCUCCCCAACGGUACAACACAUUCAACUCAAAUUUGACAUAUGGAUAUGUCAUGAGAAUAUACAGGUCAAGUUCGAAUUUGGUCAUGGUUCGAUGAUUUUUGGCAGAGUUAUGCCCCUUUUAUUUUGAAAAUAAUGUGAAAUUUUCAGUUUCCAUUCAUUAUCUCCCAAACGGUACAACACAUUCAACUCAAAUUUGACAUAUGGAUAUGUCAUGAGAAAACACAGGUCAAGUUCGAAUUUGGUCAUGGUUUGAUGAUUUUUGGCAGAGUUAUGCCCCUUUUUCUUAGUAAAUAAUAUGAAAUUUUCAGUUUCUGUUCAUUAUCUCCCCAACAGUACAACACAUUCAACUCAAAUUUGACAUAUGGAUAUGUUUCUGGAAUGCCCAGGCCAAUUUCGAAUUUGGUCAUGGUUCAAUGAUUUUUGGCAGAGUAAUGCCCGUUUCACUUUGAAAAUAAUAUGAAAUUUACAGUUUCUGUUCAUUAUCUACCCAACAGUGUUACAUAUUCAACUCAAAUUUGACAUAUGGAUAUGUCAAAGGAAUGGGCAGGUCAAGUUGGAAUUUGGUCAUGGUUCGAUGAUUUUUUGGCAGAGUUAUGUCCCUUUCACUUUGAAAAUAAUAUAGAUACGUCUUAGGAAUAAGCAGUUUAAGUUUGAAUUUGGUCAUGGUUUAAUGAUUUUGGACAACCUUAUCUUUCUUGAAUGUUGGAAAUUUUUUGAACUUUUUGUUUCAGCACUCAUACUUUUGUGGAAAUGUAUGUAUAGCCAUUAUUUUGGCUACAAAUAUGAAAUAUGCUAUUUUCAAAAGGUUAAGACUGAAUAAUUUCAGUGCCUUGAAUAUUGUAUGAAAAUGGUUUGUGUUAACACUGAAAAGUUUAAAGGGCUUUGAACUUAAAAUGAAAACAAUAAUUUGUGCAAACAAAUUUGGAGCUAAAUAUUAUAACAUUUGAAAUUUUGGCUGCAUGCGGGGGCAUCCGUGGCAUGAUGACACAUUUCUAGUUUUGUAAUGACUUUAUUACAAUCCUGUGAUGUCAAACAUAUAUGAUAAUGUUCUAUUAGCAUUAAUUGUAGACUUGUUGAACUUUUUUCUUAACAAACUCUAUGAAAUACUGGUUGAACCCUAAUAGUGCUGGAAACAAACGUUUCAGGCCAUGUUGACCAGUGUAGACCAGAUUUGCAGGCACCCUUGCCAGUUGAUCGAAUCACACACUUAAUUGCCAACAUGGUUGGAAGGGUCUUAUUGUCCAAGCUGCAAAGAGUGUAUACCCAUAUAAACUAGCUGGCACAGUUUGUGUCAGUUGAUAUCAGUCUGUGCUGGUUGCAAAUUCAAAUCCAAUACUUUCAUAGAAUUAUAUGUUUUUAUUUAAUGUUUAUUGCAUCAAUAAAUUGAUAAUCUGAAAAAAUAUUGCAAGUCAGGUUUUCAAGUAUAAUCCUAAUUAACUUUUAGAACAUUUUGCAUAAAGUAAGGUGAUAUCUCUAAGUUGUCAAAGAAAAGUUUUUGCAGCUCUUUAUAAUUAAACAUGGCAUGGCACUUGUAUCUAUAGCUUUGUCCACAACACAAGUACUCAAAUUUUGUGACAUUUUUUAAUAUAGUUUUCCCCAUAUUCCAAUUACAGUAAUUUGUUACAUUUCUCUUUCCUCUAUCAUUCUUAGUUUUUGUAUUUAAUAUUUUCCAAGUGGUAAAUAAAAACAAUAUAAAAUUUCACGAUUAUUUCUAAUAUUUUAUUUACUUGUGUAUUUCAUGCAAUUUAGGCUAAAAAUGUAAAAAAGUAAUUUUUGAAGAAUUUUUUUUUUUAAGUUAGACCAGUGUUGCUUCAGCCAUCAAUAUGUUAACUUGUCAUGUAGUAUGUACACAAACAUACUGGGAGAAGAAACAGAUGUUUGGCUGAAUGAAAGUACAAAAUGUUUUUGCUUAUCGUUUUCCAAUGAAUAACCAUGUACAAGGUUAAAUUACUUUUUUGGGUGAUGUUCUUUUCUGUGGAAAGACCAGGUGUUGCUUCACAAUUGUUUUUUCCUCAUUAAUAUCAUUUUAUGUAAUUUCCAUUUUUGGCUUUUUGCUUGAUAUAUUGAUGUCCUGUGUGAGCAUCUAUUAGCAAUACAUGUAUCAAUGAGUGUCAUGAGUUACUUAUAAGACCAUGAAGUACAAAAUAAAACUAUAUUACAGCU